rnacentral:rRNA from 1 species
UACGUAGGGUGCAAGCGUUGUCCGGAAUUAUUGGGCGUAAAGAGCUCGUAGGCGGUCUGUCGCGUCGGAUGUGAAAAUCCAGGGCUCAACCCUGGACCUGCAUUCGAUACGGGCAGACUAGAGUUCGGUAGGGGAGACUGGAAUUCCUGGUGUAGCGGUGAAAUGCGCAGAUAUCAGGAGGAACACCGGUGGCGAAGGCGCCACUCUGGGCCGAAACUGACGCUGAGGAGCGAAAGCGUGGGUAGCAAACAGG